GACGAACGCUGGCGGCGUGCCUAAUACAUGCAAGUCGAACGAACCGCGACUAGGUGCUUGCACUUGGUCAAGGUGAGUGGCGAACGGGUGAGUAACACGUGGGUAACCUACCUCAUAGUGGGGGAUAACAGUCGGAAACGACUGCUAAUACCGCAUAGGACAUAGGAUCACAUGAUCCAGUGAGGAAAGGUGGCGCAAGCUAUCGCUAAGAGAUGGACCCGCGGUGCAUUAGCUAGUUGGUAGGGUAAAGGCCUACCAAGGCGAUGAUGCAUAGCCGACCUGAGAGGGUGACCGGCCACAUUGGGACUGAGACACGGCCCAAACUCCUACGGGAGGCAGCAGUAGGGAAUCUUCCGCAAUGGACGCAAGUCUGACGGAGCAACGCCGCGUGAGUGAAGAAGGUCUUCGGAUCGUAAAGCUCUGUUGUUAGAGAAGAACAGCGCAUAGAGUAACUGUUAUGCGUGUGACGGUAGCUAACCAGAAAGCCACGGCUAACUACGUG
rnacentral:rRNA from 1 species